GGCCGGGGGCGGGGUGCGGCACUGGUUGCCGGGGUGGCGAAUGGCGGCGGCUCCUCGAUGGCGGCGGGGCUGAGCGCGGACCCUGCACCGGCGGCCGGGACGCGGGGACUCCCCCUCCCUGCGGCGGGGGGAGGCCCAGUCCUCGGGAAAAAGGGAGAGAGAGAGGCUCGUAUUGAAGCCAACCAGCUGCGCUUCUGAGUGGGAAGCUCCGGACUGAUCUCAUCGCUUGCUUUUUAUUUCAUUAAUACUUCAUUGUCUCUGAAAAUGAACCAUUUGUGAAGCUCUUCUUCUAACUCUGCUUAUUCCUCUUUCAUGAGGUGGCUGCUGCUGUGCAAGGGAAGGAAUGGCAUGAAGUAAAUGGCUCCAGUAUAAGCAAUCUGCUUUGCCCAAGUGUCCAGUGAGCAGCACUGUCACUUUAAUAAUUCCAGGUCAAGGGAUUGCUUUCCUCGUUUUCAAUCCUCUUUUAAUACAUGGGAGGAUCAGAGGCACAUUAAAGCCGUAAGGCUGGGUGGCUUGCAGAUAAUAAAAAUGAAAGUGACUGCCCAGUGACUUCUGUUGGGUAAGAGGGUGAUAUUUGAAGGCUGUUGUCUGUGAGGAAAAAGGGACCUUUUCAGUCUCCUGUGUAGUCAUCUAGUACAUAGCUAGCAAAUUAAUUCAAGAAGUUAAAGAGACACUUUGGAUUGUUUUGUCUUCCUCCUUAUUGGAUUUAUUUGGGCAUUUUGUCCUGCAAAUGAUAUGUUUUUGAGCAUGUACAGGGGAGUAUUGAGACAGCUGCCUAGAGAUGGACUGUGCCUUCAUUGUGUUGCAUAAAUCUUUUAUAUUUUCAAAACUUUGCUGCCAGAAGAGGAGUUAAUAAUAAGGUUUUAUAUUGCCCAAGGGACGUUUGCCUUGUAUUUUUAUAGUUCCAGAUAUAUUUUACAGAAAUUGAAAACAUCUCUUAAAAAAGAAUCAAAAGCUUCUUUCCCCCCCCCCCCUUUUUUUUUCUUAUUGCCGGGAAGCAUCAGAAGUCCAAUACAAGGGAAACAGCAAGUAUUCCUAAGAAAUGAAGAUUGAAGCUGCAUUCCUUACUGAACUGUAAAAGUGUUCUGCGUAGAUAGCCAAUUCUUGACCAUCGCAGAGUGCUCCAGUGGUGCUUUGUUAGUACCUGUAAAUAAGUGCUUUGCAACCAGAUUCAGAAGUAGGAAGAAGAAUGCCAGUCAAGAAGAAAGGUGGGCUAUGAAGCUUCAUAUCUCAUGUUGCAUCUUCAUUGUGUUAGAUUGUUGAUUUCUGGUACUUACAAAUUCAAAUUAAAAUGUUUUAAUGGGGAAUGGAAAUAAUUUUUCUCUUGCACUGAAAAUGGGAGAAAAAUCUCUGCUCUUACAGUAGUAGUUUUUAAAAGUAAUUUUAUACCAUGUUUAAGACUUACGUCAAAUUUGCCUCAAAUAGUUUUUUUUUUUUAAAGAUCACCCAUCAGAGAUUUUGAACAGACACUAAGAGAAAAGCUUGUCAUUUAAUUUUGUGAGAAGGCUCUCUUACAAUGCCAAUAAAUUUAAAACCAUAGUUUAGUCUGUUAUUAUUCAUUACAUGUUUGGCAGAUAAACUUCAGGUAUCAGUAGCAGGAUAAUAAGCAACCAAGUUUCAAGGCCAAGUUUAAAUAAAAGUUAUAGGAGUUGUGUUUGAAGGUGAUUUUAAAUGUGUGGUUUUUUUUCAAAUGUGAUUUUAAUUAACUUGGAUUUCCAUUCUUUAAUUACAAUAUAAAAUUACUGUCUUUAUGACUGUAGUAUGGCCAGCAUUUAAGGAAAGACGAAGAGCCUUAUGUUUUUACCCCUUCUCACCUCAAGUUUGUGAUGGCUGCAAGAUAGAAGCAGCUUUGGAAAAUGUGAUUUCCAGUGUUUCAAACAAGAACUGUGAAAUAUAUGAAGGCAAAUCUUACUCUGGAAACAUUUGUAUACCUUUGGUUAUAUCAGUUUGCUUGCAAAUAGGACACUGAUUUGAAGUUUUUUUGUGUGCUAAUAGAAUAAAUGGUAUGUGAACCUUUUUUUAUUCAACUCAUCUAUCCAGAUGCGUGCUUUGAUAUAUCCCUGGAUCUGAUGAUACAAAAUAUGGGGGAAGGACCAGAAAGUGAAUAUUACACAACAGAAAUGAGGAUAUAGGUGAUAUGACUUUGAGUUGUCUUCCUUGUAGGAGUAACCCUUCAUUAGUUAUGAAUUGACAUUUACUAUGUAAAUAAUGAUAAACAUGCAGAUUGCUAGAAUUUAUUUUCAUGCAAAAAACAACAAAUGGGAUUUUGUGUUUAUAUUUUAACACAUGACAGCGUAGAAAUGAAUUUUCAAAACUGAAAUAUUUUAAUGGAUCAUCCUGUCAUUCAUUAUAAUUGAUUACAAUUAUGUGUAGUAAAGGUGGAAACGUGUAUGGAGGAGUAACAUCCUUAAUAAUUCAUCCUGCUGUGCUCUCAACAUGUCACCCUGAUGUACUGGUGAGGCUCAUGUGUUCUACCUGUUUACAAAAGGAAAAUUGAGACCGUUUUCAUAUGUCUUAAUCCUGAUUUAGGUGAUUUACAUUAAGGAUGUUUCCGUGCUGGAUGUUUAGCUGUAAUUCAGUUUCAGAACACUUGCUGCAGGAUUUUUGGGGUGAGAUCGUACAGACUUCUUUUUGCAGAAGUUAGAUUGGCAAUCACAGCGGUCCCUGGCCUUAAAAAUCUGUGGAUUUCCUGUUUGUUUCCAGGCAGUUUGGGUCAGUUUUAGUGUGCAUCAAGGCUCGAAUUUCUUCUUCUGUCUUAUGAGGAUGUGUAUGUUAAAAUAUAAACUCAAGAGACCCUAAUAUGCUCUUUGAAAUACUAUAAACUGUAACAUCAAUCGGUGUAUUGGAGUUCCCAGUGUGAAUGACUGAGUCUUAAAAGGGUAUUGUUAAAAAUGCGUUUAAGCAUGUAAAUUGCAGGUUUAAAAAUGUUGACGAAUCAGCAACUUCAUUAUGAUUUUGAAUGACUUAAUUUGUCUAGUUCAUGCAAUAGAUUUUAACUUUCUAAACAUAAUUAAAAGCAUGCUGGCAACUUGAAACACACUACCGUUUUUAAAAAAAUCCGCUAUUGUUACAAGUAAUCCCUGUUACUGCCAUAAAUACGAAGGAGGUUGAGGGGAUUUUUUUCCUUUUCCCCCCCCCCAUUUAUUUGCUUUAUGCUUUUGACAGCACUUUGUGUCUAACUAAUUUUAUGUUUCUGAUGGUGAUUUAUUUUCCCUUUCUCGUCUUAUGUAUUUGGGAGAUCAUAUCUGCUGUCUUUCCUACCCAGGCCGUCUGUAGAAAUCUUGGUGGGAUUCUCACUUCUAGGCUGUGCAGAAGUAUGUAUUUCAAUAGCAGCAUUAAGGACAGGAUUAUCCCUCUCCAUUUCAGCACUUAUUUUUGUGUUGCUAUUUUGGAUUUGAUCAAAACAUUCUCCUAAAUCAAUAUUGAGACAGAGAAACCUGUGAAAACAAACUUUAAAACAUGCUGAUAUUUAUUGCUGAAAGUUGUUACCAAACGUACUUUCUUUGGACUGAUUGGUUCUGGGUCUUUCUAAGAGCAGUGUAUGUAUUUUGGGAAUUUGCCUUUGACAGAUCUCACAUCAGUACCAGUCUUCAAAUUUCACAUAACUUUGCACCUAAUUUACGUUUUACCUUCCUGCUUGGUAUGAUGUCUUCCAUCUCUCUUUUAAAAGUCCAGGCCUGUUUUAGUCCGGAAAAAAAUAGUUUGCUUAAUAAUAAAAAUCAUAUAACUUAGAGCAAGCAUUAAUUUCUUAUGGAUGCUGGAAAAAAGGAUUUGCUUCUGGUUCUGAUCAUGUUUGUGUCAGUACUGAUGAUUGCCAUGCCUGAUGUGCUAGAGUGAAAGGAUUUUUGUUUCCUCACUUCAUUCUGAAGGGGAAUAAAGCUCCACAUUCCCAACAAUGUUCACAGAGUUGACAUGUUUGCUGUCAGUCUCAGCAAAAAGUGAGGCUGGAAAGGGAGAACGGAGUAUCCUGGGUGUUGAAUGUGGCUCCCUUCAGAUAAGGGCGGGACACGGAUGCACGGUUUCUGCGUGGAUAAACAAGUGCUCUUUUCUUUGGCUUUUGCUCAUCUUUCACUUUUAUGUACAUUUCAAGUUUAAAUCAAACCAGACAUCUCACUUUAGUUUACAAAAUGAUUUGUUGGACAGUACCUUUUAGAGAUGAUAUGAGAUGAACAAAUUGGAUAAGUCAAUAAAUGCAUUAUUUUUGCUUAAUUUUUACUUUGCUUUCACUAACUAGACUAUGUAUGAUACAACUAUUCAUAAAAAAGUUAUGGAACUUCUUGAGAAAAACUUUGUUUCAAACUAAAAUAGUACUACCAUACAGAAGUGAAGUCAGGUCACUAAGUGGAUUCAGGUUUUGUGUAUUUUCUUUUCCUCCCUCUCUUCCUGAGUUGCUUAGCUUUCUGUGAACUGUAAGGGACUAUGUUUAGAUCUGUAAUUGCGUGUAUUUUGGAUUCAUCAACAGAAUAGUUAAGAGCAUAAAAUGUUACUGUGAUUCAUUCAUGUCUUUCACAGUGAUGGAAAGAGCUAAUUAAAUCCAUGCUCCUAAGUGAUGGAGACCAGAUUCCAGUUUUGAAGCCCUGCUUGUGAUUCAUACGGAGAUGGCAGGAACUCCCUCCUCUAGAUGCCUGGCUGCACAUGUGCUUCUAGACUAACCCUGUCAUCAUCUUUACAUCUAGCUGUGUCUAGGCAGUAAAGAUACUUGAGUGCUGGGGUUUGUAUUGCCUUUGUCCUGCUUUCUGUCAUUCCACUGAGAUGGACUGUAUCUUUAGCCAGAUGAAAUCUGUGGGCUGCUAUUAGUUCCAUCUUGUCCACCUUCUAGCCAGUUUAUAAAGACCUAGAUUCUGUUUGUCAUGGAAUAACUUUUUGCAUGAUUCCUUUUAUAUUAAAAAAUGCCUUCUAGGCCAUGCAUUAUUCAGCACAUCAGUGUCAAUAAUUAAACAGUAUCAGUCUUACCCCAUGUGGACAACUUCUGGGCCAUUGAGAAGAAUCUGACAGAUGCACUUUAUGAAAUGCUAGAUUUGUAGUGGUAAUGCUGGUCUAUUGGAAGGAAGGAGUCUAAAAACAACUCAGCAUGAACUUUUAAAGUGAAGUUCCUAAAGGACUAGACUAGCCACUCCCUUAAUGCAGUGGAGUUCUUCAUGCCUUAGUUCUUUUCAAACUGGCAACUUCUUUUUAGAUCUUUAAGUUUAGGGAUUGUAACUUUAGUGCUCAGAAAUCUCACUGAAUGUGGUUUCAGGCUCCUCACAUCUUACAGCAGCAAAUCCACCAUGUAUUGGAAAUUUUGUUUCUUUUACUUGCAAUAAGUAAUUGGUAUUACAAGAUUUUUGUCCUUUCAGUUACUGAAUGAGUAGUCUCAAAUGAGUACAUGGCUAAAGGCCACAUCUUCCACUCCAAGUCUUGUUCGACCGCCUCUCAGUUUUUACAGUUAAUUGAAUGGGAGCAGUGUGAAGUUUGGGUUGUGUUUACAGACUGUGGAACAAGUAAGAAUCUUAGUUUCCAAGAGUUAAAUAAGCAAGUGUCAGAAAAUUGCUGUCUGGACUGUGCCAAGCUUCACCACAAAGCUUUGAUUUAAAGAUGUCACUGCUUUUAUGGCAGUGACGUUUUUCCAGCCAGACAUUGUUUCCGCUGUGGGAAACAGUGAAGUAUUUUGCACACAAAAGGACUAUAGGAGCAGGCAUUGUACAGAACAGUCUUUAUUCUUUACAUGCAGGCUGGAAAACUAAGGACUGGGAACAGUGAAAUUUAUACUCUUUUUCCAGCUCUGCUGUUGUUCUGAUACAUUUCAGAUGUUUAUUGCAGAUCGACACCAUUUUAGUUGCCUCAUCUAUGCAGGUGCCCAGCUUUUUGUCCUGGAGGGUUGCUUCGGUCAGCAGAGAGAGGUCCACCUCCAAAGGGCAUUUUAACACACCUAGGAUCUGAAUUGCCUUCUUGCCAGUUGUCAUUUUCUCUCUCUCCAUAGAUGAAACACAGGUUAACCACAUUAACUCACCUCAGUUAGAUGAUGUCUCAGUUUCUCAUAUAAAGUUUACUGGGAAAAGUAUCCUUAUCUGACAUACUUAUGAGAGUUGAUGUUACGUGUUCUAUGAGUGCUAUAAAUUAACACUAUUCAUUAUUUUUGUGGGCAAAAAAGUGUUAUAAAUUAUUGUACUGUUAGUCACUGGAGCUGGAAGCAACCAUAGUGUUGAUACAGACACGAGAGGCAGCUGUGCAUCCUCUCCUCCAUUCCUAUUAAGUACAUAUUGCACUCAGUAGAAGCAGUGGUGUCUUGCAUUAUAAGCAUAAUCUCUUUCCUUCUCAUCCUCUCUUCUUUCCUUCUGAAUUUGUUCCAGAUGGCCAAGUUAGAUGUCAGAGGGUAACCAGGAGAAAAAGCUGAAUUUGUAACUAGUAGCCAAAUGUGAUAGAAGAUGAUAAAAGUCCCCGCUUCAGCAAAAUGAGAAAAGUCUGCCUUACUUAGAUAUGCUUAUUUUGUCAGGUCAUACCAGGUUUACUUCUUACAAGUAUUUAAGGUCUGUUUCAUUGUGGUAUCUUCUUAUAUUACUGUAGAUUAACACAGUGCCAAACAACAUCUUUAUAAAAAUAAAGAUCAUGUUUUCUCUUGCCAUAUUCAUCCCUGAAAGAGUCAGUGAAGCUGCCUGACCUGAUGUCAGUAGUAAUCAACAUACAAAAUCUCUGAAGAAAGCAUUUACUCUUUAUUGAUGUGGUCCAGAAGAGUUUUUGGUGGCAGUAAACUCUUUGCCAGAACAAGUUACAGCAGUUGUCCUUAAGUCUGUCUUUACUUUUGGGCUGAAGAGGUUAAUGCUCUCUUCAAAACAUAUUCAUCAGGGAAUUGAAUCAUGUAGAGUUUCCCUGAAAGAGAGGAUCUGGACAAUUUAUGGUUUUGCACACAGAAACCAAUCUUUUCUGUUUUAGAAUGCUGCUCUCUCCCCUGGCUGUGUAGCAUCUUGUGUUGUGCUGUAGUGGAAUAAUUCAAGUCACCUUCCAGUUCUGUCCUAGGUGUUGAGCACUGCAGUUACACUGCCUUGCAGAUGGAUACCUGCUAAGCUGUGCUUUUAACAACAACAACAACAAAACCCCAAACAACUCCAAGCACCAUAAACAACCCAAACCCAAGCUUUGCAGAUCUACAGACCGAGUUGCUUAAUGCCUAAAUGUAGAAUUAAUUUGUGUUGUUGCGUGAAGGCACAUGUUUUGGUUAUUGACUCAGAGACUGUAGUAUAAUACAGAGGUUCUUAAAUUAAUAUUCCAAUGUGAAUGUGAGAAAAUGUAAGACCAUAAUGCCUGUUUUGCUAAUAAAUAAAGAUAAUUUGAUCUCA